AAAUUGAAGAGUUUGAUCAUGGCUCAGAUUGAACGCUGGCGGCAGGCCUAACACAUGCAAGUCGAACGGUAACAGGAAACAGCUUGCUGUUUCGCUGACGAGUGGCGGACGGGUGAGUAAUGUCUGGGAAACUGCCUGAUGGGGGGGGAUAACUACUGGAAACGGUAGCUAAUACCGCAUAACGUCGCAAGACCAAAGAGGGGGACCUUCGGGCCUCUUGCCAUCGGAUGUGCCCAGAUGGGAUUAGCUUGUUGGUGGGGUAACGGCUCACCAAGGCGACGAUCCCUAGCUGGUCUGAGAGGAUGACCAGCCACACUGGAACUGAGACACGGUCCAGACUCCUACGGGAGGCAGCAGUGGGGAAUAUUGCACAAUGGGCGCAAGCCUGAUGCAGCCAUGCCGCGUGUAUGAAGAAGGCCUUCGGGUUGUAAAGUACUUUCAGCGGGGAGGAAGGGAGUAAAGUUAAUACCUUURCUCAUUGACGUUACCCGCAGAAGAAGCACCGGCUAACUCCGUGCCAGCAGCCGCGGUAAUACGGAGGGUGCAAGCGUUAAUCGGAAUUACUGGGCGUAAAGCGCACGCAGGCGGUUUGUUAAGUCAGAUGUGAAAUCCCCGGGCUCAACCUGGGAACUGCAUCUGAUACUGGCAAGCUUGAGUCUCGUAGAGGGGGUAGAAUUCCAGGUGUAGCGGUGAAAUGCGUAGAGAUCUGGAGGAAUACCGGUGGCGAAGGCGGCCCCCUGGACGAAGACUGACGCUCAGGUGCGAAAGCGUGGGGAGCAAACAGGAUUAGAUACCCUGGUAGUCCACGCCGUAAACGAUGUCGACUUGGAGGUUGUGCCCUUGAGGCGUGGCUUCCGGAGCUAACGCGUUAAGUCGACCGCCUGGGGAGUACGGCCGCAAGGUUAAAACUCAAAUGAAUUGACGGGGGCCCGCACAAGCGGUGGAGCAUGUGGUUUAAUUCGAUGCAACGCGAAGAACCUUACCUGGUCUUGACAUCCACGGAAGUUUUCAGAGAUGAGAAUGUGCCUUCGGGAACCGUGAGACAGGUGCUGCAUGGCUGUCGUCAGCUCGUGUUGUGAAAUGUUGGGUUAAGUCCCGCAACGAGCGCAACCCUUAUCCUUUGUUGCCAGCGGUCCGGCCGGGAACUCAAAGGAGACUGCCAGUGAUAAACUGGAGGAAGGUGGGGAUGACGUCAAGUCAUCAUGGCCCUUACGACCAGGGCUACACACGUGCUACAAUGGCGCAUACAAAGAGAAGCGACCUCGCGAGAGCAAGCGGACCUCAUAAAGUGCGUCGUAGUCCGGAUUGGAGUCUGCAACUCGACUCCAUGAAGUCGGAAUCGCUAGUAAUCGUGGAUCAGAAUGCCACGGUGAAUACGUUCCCGGGCCUUGUACACACCGCCCGUCACACCAUGGGAGUGGGUUGCAAAAGAAGUAGGUAGCUUAACCUUCGGGAGGGCGCUUACCACUUUGUGAUUCAUGACUGGGGUGAAGUCGUAACAAGGUAACCGUAGGGGAACCUGCGGUUGGAUCACCUCCUUACCUUAAAGAAGC
rnacentral:rRNA from 1 species